rnacentral:rRNA from 1 species
AACGAACGUUAGCGGCGCGCUUAACACAUGCAAGUCGAGCGAGAAAGGGGCAACCCCGGUAAAGCGGCGCACGGGUGAGUAACACGUAGGUAAUCUACCCUCGGGUGGAGGAUAACUUUCCGAAAGGAAGGCUAAUACUGCAUGAGACCACGGCCUCGAAAGGGGCAGGGGUCAAAAGCCGGCCUCUGUACACAAGCUGGCGCCUGAGGAUGAGCCUGCGGCCCAUCAGCUAGUUGGUAGGGUAAUGGCCUACCAAGGCGAAGACGGGUAGCUGGUCUGAGAGGAUGAUCAGCCACACUGGAACUGAGACACGGUCCAGACUCCUACGGGAGGCAGCAGUGGGGAAUCUUGCGCAAUGGGCGAAAGCCUGACGCAGCGACGCCGCGUGAGUGAUGAAGGCCUCGGUUGUAAGACUCUGUGGAGAGGGAC